rnacentral:rRNA from 1 species
UAGACGCAGGUCAUCAACCUGCAUCGAUUACGUCCCUGCCCUUUGUACACACCGCCCGUCGCUUCUACCGAUUGGUCGUCCCGGUGAACAAUCGGGAGGCCGUGCUCAUGGUCAGCAAUGGCCGGAGCGCGGUUGAACUUUUGUAAAUUUGGACGACUAGAGGAAGAAGAAGUCGUAACAAGGUUUCCGUAGGUGAACCUGCGGAAGGAU